GGUCUCGUAGCUCAGCUGGAUAGAGCAUCUGCCUUCUAAGCAGAGGGUCUCAGGUUCGAAUCCUGACGGGAUCACCA
rnacentral:tRNA from 2 species